rnacentral:lncRNA from 1 species
AAUUUUGACAUUGGUGGAAUAAAUUUGGAUAAACCAAUCAGUGCAAAGCUAAAAGGAAGAACGAUAAGAAGUGAUGAGGUAAGGACUGAAUUUAAAGGGACCGACCACCUACUACAUGAAUUUGAGACGAGAUUGAACUCCUCGUCGGCGAGAUAUUUUCCUGGUCUAAGCUUCGUGGCACGUAGCAGUGCAAUAGCUCACGGAGGGGUAAUUUGCCAUCUACACGGUUACGACGACAUGGUGAAUUGGUCCUUGGCGUGGCCAAACCGAGGAAGCCGACAGCCACCAAAAUGAUCGUCGCUCCGCCAUGUCGCCGUCAAGUGGGCACGGUAGGGCAUAGCCCCGAUUCACCCCCCGGAUCUUUUCACUCUCCUGCCGAUCUUUUUGCUCACCGCGUAGACGCCGUCCUUAGCCUUGCGCGAAUCACGACGCUGAGUGUCACACCCGGGCUUUAAGGGACAAAGCCGGGUGCAUCUCAUACAUGCGCCAAAGAAGACAACAUAAAUAAUAACAGAGUGUAUAGAGAUAAUGUCACAAUAAAAUCAGAGUACUUAUUAUAUAGCGGAAGUCUUACAAAAUAAAAGAUAAAUAUAAAACGAACUAAGGAUCAUCCUUGGUGCAGCAAGUCAACUAGGAAAUGCCACCAAGAUCGAAUCGAACUCCUCCAUACGUGACUCCUCUUGAACCACCUGUUCUUCUCAUGUGGGGGUGUGAGACAGCAAGGGUGAGCUCACACAUGUUCAUCGCUCAACAAGUUGUGGGGAAUAAUGUGCAUGAACUCGCCAAAGGUGGGAGUUCAUGUGAUGUGUAAGGCUAAUCAACAACGGGGGUUAAAGCUGAGCAUUGCUUUUAAGUAGUUGGUCAAAAUUUUAUUAGUAGUUACUAAAUGUAAGUAAAUACCAAACCUUAAAUAAAGUAAUAGAACAAAAUUAAUAAUAAACCCAUGCAAUACAAAUGACAAAUUGAAUUUAAGUUCCAUAAAUUAAUCAUCAGAGAGUCCUGAGCUGCUCAUGACCGCGAGCAUGGCUAGUAUACCAGUUUUACACUCUGCAAAGGUUGUACCCUGUACCCACAAGUCGUGUAUCCCAUGUCGCAGGGUUAGCUAGACCCUUAGACACUAUCGAGAUGAAUGGCUAGGGAUCCACUACGAGGCCUUUACAAAGUUCCACUAGCUUCCGAAAACCCGCUACAGUUUAUGGGAAGAGCACUUGCAAGAAUCCCCCUCUUGACCGCCAUCGCAGCAAAAUCAAUCCGAGAACCUCCUUGCAUGCAAUCCCCUAUUGCCCUUGCCCCUUUCGGGUAAGGUAGUCUUCCACUAGCUUUCCUAGUUAGUUGGCCAAGGGCGUCCCAUUAAACCCUAGUGGUGGCACGUGUUUCUCAAGUUAAGCUCCUUGUUCCAAUUAACAUUAAUGAUCUUGACAUGAACAUAAACAGAAUAACAAAAGAAUUGGAACAUGGAUAUAAUGAAAUAUUAUCUCAAAAUCAUGUAAAGCAAUAGCAAAACUACCCAUGUGAUUCAGGGAUAACAAGGUAAAGAGAUAAACAUUCUAGGCUGACCUAUUGAGUCCCAUCAAAAUUAAACCUAUGCAUGGUAAAUGAUUAUAAAGAACAUUAUUGGGUAGCAAAAGUGAAUCAAGGGCACAACUUGCCUUCAAUGAGCUCCUGCUCAGCUACUUCUAUCUGCUGGUCACCAGGAUCCUCAGACACAGGCUCUUCUACUCGCCACAAUUCAAACAAGCACAGUAUAUAGAGAAAAUUAACAUCACACCAAACAUGUAAACAAAAUACAUAAUAAUAAUCUACAUAUUAAAAUAAAAUCCUAGGAUAAGAAAUCAUUAAUUUUGAGUUAUGGAUAUUAAAUUAUGAAUUUCCAAAGGUUUUAUGUGGUUGAGAUAGGAUUAAGUGGGAAAUAAAUUUUCUUAUUGUUUUCAUGACAAAAGAGAGCCUCUAUGUGAUAUACAAUAAUAUUACAAAAUUGUAGAUACUAGAAUGAAGUAAUUUGGACUAGAGAUGAAUUUUCUAUGAAUUUUAUAAGUUCUAGCACUUAUUUUAUAUAUUAAAAAACUAUUUUCCAUUUUUUCUCUGGUUUUCGAGUUCUCUGGAUUGGACCUCAUUUUCUGGAGAGUACAGGGGCUAAUUUAUAAAACUUCCCUAGACUCUGAGCCCGCCAGAGAUGAACCGCGGGUUGAAUUCAGUAUUUGGCGGGGGCUCUUUAACAAAUUCCCUGGUCGAAGGGUUACGGAGCGAGAUCAGCCACCCGAUCUGCUACGGAUGCACCGGAUUAGAUCCCCAACUCUGUGAAACGGUAAGCGGCCCGAGACGUCGGAUCAACGAUCGACGAGCCUGAUCUAUUAUACUCUAAUGGAAUCCUAUGCGCUAGAUCUGAAAUGGAUGGACCGGAUCAAUACAGGCGAACCGGUACGCGUGGACUAAUCACAGCCGUUGAUCUGCAAACCAACGACUGCGGAACGUUCGCCCCAGUCUCCCCUACUCCGUGCGAAUUCCGAUGGUCGACCAAGGCCACACGGCGGCGCGCCAUGGCUGACGAUGGCCAACCCAACCCUCUAGACCACAAACCUCUAAUCUAGGACGAGCUACGCGGUGCGCAAAUGAAAGGAAUCUACAUGCACACCGAACUCACCGAGGACAAGGUCGCACACAGGCAGCACACGGCGAGGCGCGGACGCGGCAGGAAUUCCAGCUCCGGUGAGAAAUUCAAGGCAAAAGCGCGAGUGCUUUC